GGCAUGUAGCUCAGUGGUAGAGCUCUGGUUUAGCAUAUGUGAGGCCCUGGGUUCCAUCCUCAACACCA
rnacentral:tRNA from 1 species